rnacentral:rRNA from 1 species
AGAGUUUGAUCCUGGCUCAGGAUGAACGCUGGCGGCGUGCUUAAACACAUGCAAGUCGAACGAUGAUGCCAGCUUGCUGGUGGAUUAGAGGCGAACGGAUGAGUAACACGUGAGUAACCUGCCCUUAACUCUGGGAUAAGCCUGGGAAACUGGGUCUAAUACCGGAUAUGACUGGUCAUCGCAUGGUGGUUGGUGGAAAGCUUUUUGUGGUUUUGGAUGGACUCGCGGCCUAUCAGCUUGUUGGUGGGGUAAUGGCUUACCAAGGCGACGACCGGGUAGCCGGCCUGAGAGGGUGACCGGCCACACUGGGACUGAGACACGGCCCAGACUCCUACGGGAGGCAGCAGUGGGGAAUAUUGCACAAUGGGCGCAAGCCUGAUGCAGCGACGCCGCGUGAGGGAUGACGGCCUUCGGGUUGUAAACCUCUUUCAGUAGGGAAGAAGCGUAAGUGACGGUACCUGCAGAAGAAGCGCCGGCUAACUACGUGCCAGCAGCCGCGGUAAUA